rnacentral:misc_RNA from 1 species
UCUUGCGCACCACUUCCUUGA